CUCCGCCCGGGCUUGGGUCUGCCGGCCCUUGCUCCGCCCGGCCCGCCGGCCAGGUGAACGCGCCUCAGCUAGCGGGCCAGAUCGCGUCCCCAUGACAACUCUGAGGGCCUGCCCCCUUGUUUGCUGUGAUGGUGCAGGAAACAGGCUGCCGCUAAAUAAGACAGAUGCUUUUAAAGGGAAAGAGGCAAAAGUCAGAAUUGCCCCCAGAUCAUUACAAGGUCAGGAUGAUAAGCCUCGGUCAGGAUUUCUUUCAAUACACGGCCAUAUUUUACGAGGGGAGAAGAGGCGAACUUUAUCCAACUGUACAAAAUCAUCAUAAUGACCAGCUAUGACAUUAUGCUAUCGCAACAGUGGAGCUAUGAGGCGAAGAGCUGCAUGGUGCCGGUGCUUGAACAUCAUCGAGGCCUGUGGUCUCCUCUCUUACAGUGCCUUUUCAUUACUGGGACUCAGAAGCCAUAAUCAAGUUUGGGAGAAUUAUAUAUAAAUGUAUAAAUAAGCUCAAAAGAGGGCCUCUCCUCUUAGGUUUUACGGUAUUGACUUAGUA